rnacentral:rRNA from 1 species
GACGAACGCUGGCGGCGUGCUUAACACAUGCAAGUCGAACGGAAAGGCCCCUUCGGGGGUACUCGAGUGGCGAACGGGUGAGUAACACGUGAGUAACCUGCCCUUGACUUCGGGAUAACUUCAGGAAACUGGGGCUAAUACCGGAUAGGAAUCCUUGCUGCAUGGUGGGGGUUGGAAAGCUUCGGCGGUUUUGGAUGGACUCGCGGCUUAUCAGCUUGUUGGUGGGGUAGUGGCUUACCAAGGCUUUGACGGGUAGCCGGCCUGAGAGGGCGACCGGCCACAUUGGGACUGAGAUACGGCCCAGACUCCUACGGGAGGCCGCCGUGGGGCCUCUUGACCACUGGGCGGAAGCCUGAUGCAGCAACGCCGCGUGCGGGAUGACGGCCUUCGGGUUGUAAACCGCUUUCAGCCGGGGCGAAGCUUGUGGUGACGGUACCUGCAGAAGAAGCACCGGCUCCCUACGUG